ACAUAAAUACAGAUCAACCUCUCUCCAGUUUCCCAGAGGAAACCUGGUUUGAAAGAGGGCCUAGAGGGAUGUGACCAGUCUUCUCCUUCCCGAAUAAACAAGCAGGACAGCAGACCUGGUUGCUGCUGCUGCUGUCUUUCCCCUGAUGGGAGCUGUGCCUCUUCUCAACCUGCCUCCUCAAAAACAUUGCAAAGCCUGCUGUGGAUGUGUGGUGCAGAGAAGGCAAGAUAACAUGAGAGCAUGACACAUCACCAGGAUGUCCCCCAUGAGCCAGCCAAGCUGGAGCCUCUGACACAGCUUGAGGAAGCACAGAGGGGAAGGUGAAAGUUAUAUCUACUUUGUUCCCUCACACAAAUAGUAUCUGCUGGUGGUGGUCUACAGUAUCCACAACACAAGGAUGGGGCCAGAGCAUUGCUGCUGGCAAUGAUCUGCUCCAGCCUCCUGAGGCAGUGCUUGGCUUUGCUCCCUAUAGCAUGAGCAGCACACACAGGACAGCCUGGUCUGUGCUGCAGCAUCUUCAACAGCCCCUCAUCUGCCAGAAGCACUGUGUACCACUGGAUUUGUGGAACCCUGAGUAGGUUAUACCUGUUGUUGCUGCUGUUUUUAAUUGCAGUUCAGAGCUUGACAA